CUGAUCCGCAACACCAGCCCGCCACCGCGACCUCUCCUCCCACAGCGCGCCGCCGGUGCCUCCCCCUCCCCCAGGGCGCCGCCGCGGCCCCUCCUCCCCCAGCGCGCCGCCGGGGCCUACCCCUCCCCGCAGCGCGCCGCCGUGGCCUCCCCUCUUCCCCAGCGCGCCGCCCUGCCCCCACCUUCUCCCUCGGCUACGGUCGCCGCCCCACCCCCACCUUCUCCCUCGGCUUCGGCUGCCGCCCCCCACCCCCACCUUCACCUUCUCCCUUGGCUUCGGCCCGAGCACAUCCUGGCUCCGACGGCACCGGCUGUGAUCCGCCCCCCACCCCCUGGAUCUGCCGCCGCCGCAACCAGCCCAAGUCUGGUUUGUGCUGCUCCUCUCCUCCUUUCCGUCACUGCCGUUCAUCCUGGUUAGCUCUCCAUCGAAUGGCCCCGGUCGCUACUCACCUCCACAGCCUCUGUUCGUGGUGUUCUUCUGCCCGCGGCUGCCUUCGAUCACGAGCUCGUCCACCACAAUCGCUGGUAGCUGUCCAAGUCGAUCUCUAACCGCAGUACGAGCAGAACUUCGCUGGUAGUUGUCCCUACACUUGGACUGAAAGUUUUUUGCCCCUAUACUGCCACACAUAGUAACCCAUGGCUUGCGCUCAGUGCCUAUGGGGGAGCCGUGGGGUCGAGCCUCUUCGUCUCGGCAGUACAACUGCAUGCUCCCCCGCCGGUCACGAGAAGAGCAAUGGGCAGGCCACCCCGCGCUCCACCCUGAAUUUGUUCAAUGGUCUGUUCACCGUCGUCCUGGUUCCUGCCCGGCGGCCGUCGUACUGGAUCACGCGCCACUGCUGUCGUUCUUUUCUUGGUUGGAGACAGGAAGCGCCGCCUAGGAGGACUCGCCGUGGGCCAUGCUGCACCAUCGACGGCCUCCAUCAUUACGUCUCCUGCCAUCCUCUCGUUUAUCCCCAUACGUGCUAAAAUUUCUUUGAUGUCGUGAUCUGUAGUUACUAUGAACUGAUAGGUAAAAGUAUAUCUCUCUAGUGCCCUCUCUCUCUCUCUCCAUGCUUUGUAGUUUGUGUGAACUGAUAGUUGAGAUUCGAUGAAAUGUCCAUUUCGAUUCUGUGAACUCAUAGCUGAAAGUUUUGUGAACUAGUAUUUUUUGUUCUUCAGAUAUUUGACACUUUCGUGAACUGAAAGCUGAUACUUCAGAUCUCCUACCAAUGAACAAGGACAAAGAAGAAAGGAAGAUAGAUGCCUCUUUGUUACUACCGGGAAGAAUUGAUUUAAGAUAUCGGUCUUACUUCUGUCAAGAUCCAACGUAAUUUUAUUUACCUUUUCCCCCAGGCCAUGCACCGUCGCAGCUCUCAAGCCGAUUGUGUCGAGCUUCCUGCCACUGCCGGUGGGGCUCCAUCGUCGCACCACCCAUACCGUUCACUGCCGGUGGGGCUGCCAUCUAUACUGUACUCCCACCAUCCCCAGCUAGAGAACUGCGUGUUACACUUGCACCCUUCAGAUACAGAUAUUAGUACAUACAGUAUGUGAGCAGCCUGCAGUUUCUUAAUCUAAUAAUGCGCUCCAUUGAGUUAUUUGCCUUAUGCUAUGUUCAUGAUAAUGUGAGAAAGAUGACAGGCAAGUUACUGUGUUGUAUGAGUGUACACACAUUUGUUUGUUCGUGAAUUAAUUACAUGCGUUUCCUGAAAGAUUUGUUGGCAGUACUUGCUUAUAUGUUGAAGAUUUCUGCUGGAAACGAGUUCAUUAUUUUGCCCUUGGACUUGUAGAUGGAGUGUUGGCAAAGACAACUAUGGAGAGGAAACUGUCGAUGGCGAAGAAUUGGGAGUCAGAAGAGCAAAGCCGACAGCAGGGCCAAGCAGAAGAUGUCGCUAAUGUUGUUGGGUCAUGGGAGAACACCAAAACAGAAGGCAGUCCUUGACGUGAAUCUCUGAAUGCCAGAGGUCUCGACUCUGAAUCUGGACCUUGCCUAGUUGCCUUUUUGUGUUUGCUAGAUCAGUACUAGUGCUCAGUAGUACGACAAGUAGCAGUACUGAUCAGUACGACUUACACAAUACUAGUACUGAUCAGUACUAUUUCUAAUGUUAAAAGUAACAUCCAUACAGUAUUGAUGAUUAAUACUGACAAGGAUGCUGUCUACAAUUCUGAACUUAUUGUUGACUCAUACUAGUAUUGAUGAAAUGGAAAGCAAGUGUCACAUGAAUCCUCAAUUGAAAUGGGAAGGAAGGUUACAAUGAGACCCGGGGAAAUCACUAUUUAUUCUAUCCUUGGUUCUUAGAAAAACAUGGAAACAAUUCUUUGCGUGUUAGAAUAUCAGUCCAUGUGGAGAAGAACAUGUUUCCUAUAUGAAAAAUUAAUACAUUAUUAUCAGUUCAAUGUGUAUUUCGUCAUUAGUUCAUACAGAACAACCGUAAAAAUAUAUUUUGAUGUGUGUUGGAGAGAGUUCAGCUUUAUAUUAUAUGGUAGCUCACUCCCUCCGAGGCAAAUAAUGAUUUUUUGUCAAUGCAAUCCACAAUCCAGUACAUGGUGUACCUUUUUACUAAGAGUACAAGUCCGAGUUUCCAAUCUUUUGAUGAUUUGGUAUCUGUUUAGAGAAAAAUCAAGGUGAAUUUUUUGGUUGCAGGAAUGGAAGGCUCCCCACCCACCGAGACCAAAUACAUGCUGCUCGAGAAGGACCACUCAUAAGGAAUAUGUAGGGGAAAAGUUCACUUAAUCUGCUACUCAAGCUCAUAUGUAAAAGUUUGAAGGCUGUCGUAGAGCAAGUUCUAGAUCAAAGGGUGUAAUUUCUGUUUCAAUUACUGCUAGUAUUGGAUUUUGUACUAUGGACAAAUGUAGACAACUGUGUUUCUUGUAUGUGUUGCCAUUCCAUUUUUGAUA